UAGUACACUGACUUCUUGAAGAAUGAGGGUAACAUUAAUCAGUCAUUAAUGACGCAAAGAACAUGUAUGGAAGUCCUGAGAGAGAACCAAAUAUACGGAACUAACAAAAUGGUUCCAUACCGAGAUUCAAAGUUAACCCAUCUGUUCAAGAACUACUUUGAUGGGGAAGGUAAAGUAAGCAUGAUCGUGUGUGUGAAUCCAAAGGCUGAAGAUUAUGAAGAGUGCUUGGUAAUUCUGAUGUAUUUAUCUUAUAAAGUCUCAGCGUUUCUAUGGUGAAAACAACUAUUUGGAUGUGAAGAAUGACAUUUUAAAUAUUUUUAAAACUGAUACAGAACCAUUAGUUACAGAAGUGAACUAAUGACCAAUUUAUUGUUUCAUUGAGUAAUUUCUGAAAGACUUGAAUAUGCUGAUUUAUAAAACCAAAAACUCCCUCUGAUAUGUUUUGUGUCUAGCAAGUCACAAGAUUUGCAGAAGUGACCCAAGAAGUUGAAGUGGCAAGACCAGUGGACAAGGCAAUAUGUGGUUUGACACCUGGAAGGAGACACCAAAACCAGGCUUGGGGAGGACCAGUUGGAGAUGGUAAGAUUUGUGCCACAACAUGUGCAUGCUGAUGUCUGUCAGUCUCUCUCCUUAAGAUUGAUUUCACAGUAGAUAACUACUUCCCUUCCUCUCAAGAACCAAGUGCAAAGAAAAGGAAAAAAACAAAAAAACAAAAACCA